GGUUAACUGCCACCGGGUAGUAGAUGCAAUAGCAUCCGUUUACACAUCGUUAGGUCUUUGAAGAUGUGUGCGGGUGUUUAUUUUUU
rnacentral:ncRNA from 1 species